UUUUUCGUUGUAGCAAUACGAUGGAAAAUUUAGUGGCGAACGGGUGCUUAACACGUGGGCAACCUGCCAGGAAGUGGGGGACAGCUCGCCGAAAGGCGGAUUAAUACCGCAUGUGAUUAGAGAGGACAUCCUUUCGAAAUUAAAGUCGGGGCAACCUGACGCUUCUUGUGGGGCCCGCGGCCUAUCAGCUAGUUGGUGAGGUAACGGCUCACCAAGGCUUUGACGGGUAGCUGGUCUGAGAGGACGACCAGCCACACUGGGACUGAGACACGGCCCAGACACCUACGGGUGGCAGCAGUCGAGAAUUUUUGACAAUGGGGGAAACCCUGAUCGAGCGACGCCGCGUGGAGGAUGAAGGUCUUCGGAUUGUAAACUCCUGUCAUUGGGGAACAAUGCACAGAUAUUAACUGUAUUUGUGUUGAUAGUACCCGAAGAGGAAGAGACGGCUAACUCUGUGCCAGCAGCCGCGGUAAUACAGAGGUCUCAAGCGUUGUUCGGAUUCAUUGGGCGUAAAGGGUGCGUAGGCGGCGCGGUAAGUCGGGUGUGAAAUCUCGGAGCUUAACUCCGAAACUGCAUUCGAUACUGCCGUGCUUGAGGACUGGAGAGGAGACUGGAAUUUACGGUGUAGCGGUGAAAUGCGUAGAUAUCGUAAGGAAGACCAGUGGCGAAGGCGGGUCUCUGGACAGUUCCUGACGCUGAGGCACGAAGGUCAGGGGAGCAAACGGGAUUAGAUACCCCGGUAGUCCUGACAGUAAAACGGUGCACGUUUGGUGUGGGGAGGAUUCGACCCCUUCUGCGCCGGAGCUAACGCGUUAAACGUG
rnacentral:rRNA from 1 species